GUUUAGGUUGGAUAUUGGGAAGCAGUUUUUUGUGGAGAGAGUAAUGAGGCCUUGGAAUGGGCUGGGCAGGGAGGGGGUGGAGUCAGUGUCCCUGGAGGUGUUGAAGGUGAGAGUGGAUGUGGCCUCAGUGCCAUGGUCUGGGAAGCAUAGCAGGGUUGGAUCCAGGGUUGGAGUUGAUGAUCUUGGAGGUCUUUUCCAACCCAGCUGAUUCUGUGAUUCCCAUUCCUAUGGCAGCACAUGCUUGAGGCUCCAUCCCCAGGGUGAUAGAGAUGUCUGUCCAUAUCUAUCUCCAGAGUUAGUCUGUAAAUGUGUGGUGUUAGAAAAGCAGGCUAUGUUCUGGGCUGGUUGUAGAAGGAGAAAGAAGCCCAUAGGCCAGUGCAAGCAGGCAGCCCUCAGCUUGCACAUGAUGUCCCCUCCCUGCAGGUUCCUGUCCUUGAGCCCAGGCCCUGAGGUGAGGCUGAGAAUAAGUGCAAGGCAGAGGUGCUGCUGAGGAAGGAGAGCCCCGUGGUGGGGAAGAGGACAAAACUGUGAGUGCCCAUCCCCGAGAAGGUGCUGUGUCCAUCCCCUGUGUGCCAGGAUUUGUCCUUCCCAAAGCUUGGGCGGAUGGAG